rnacentral:lncRNA from 1 species
UUUUGUUUUAGGCGAAGUAUUUCUUGACUGCAUCGGAAUUCACAGGACGAGUGAACUUCUUCAUCCAUUGAUGUAAGUGUUAAAGCACUGCCUGAAAAGGCUCUCUUGACAACACAUGGACUUUCAUAGCUUGGGGUUCACUUGCCCCUGGAAUCGGGCACGACAGACAAGACUUUCUUGAGCACAGGGUCCCUCGGAACACACGAGGCUUGAUCUUCUUGUCGAAUGCUUUCUUCACUCUCUGCUGAUAUGACUGACCAUGACACAUGGCAGUUGAUCUCUUUGAUU